AGCAAUGUGUCUGAAAUAAAUAGGAGUUAAACUGUAAAUUUAAUAAUGGGUUUACCCUUGCUU
rnacentral:tRNA from 1 species